rnacentral:rRNA from 1 species
GUCUUCGGACCAGUGUUUUGACGGGUGAGUAACGCGUGAGAAUCUAUCUUCAGGUCGGGGACAACCACUGGAAACGGUGGCUAAUACCGGAUGUGCCGAGAGGUGAAAGAUUUAUUGCCUGAAGAUGAGCUCGCGUCUGAUUAGCUAGUAGGUGGGGUAAGAGCCUACCUAGGCGACGAUCAGUAGCUGGUCUGAGAGGAUGAUCAGCCACACUGGGACUGAGACACGGCCCAGACUCCUACGGGAGGCAGCAGUGGGGAAUUUUCCGCAAUGGGCGAAAGCCUGACGGAGCAAUACCGCGUGAGGGAGGAAGGCUCUUGGGUUGUAAACCUCUUUUUCUCCAAGGAAGAACACAAUGACGGUACUUGAGGAAUCAGCAUCGGCUAACUCCGUGCCAGCAGCCGCGGUAAUACGGAGGAUGCCAAGCGUUAUCCGGAAUGAUUGGGCGUAAAGCGUCCGCAGGUGGUGAUGUAAGUCUGCUGUCAAAGCGUCUAGCUCAACUAGAUACAGGCAGUGGAAACUACAUGACUAGAGUGCGUUCGGGGCAGAGGGAAUUUCCUGGUGUACCGGUGAAAUGCGUAGAUAUCAGGAAGAACACCGGUGGCGAAAGCGCUCUGCUAGGCCGCAACUGACACUGAGGGACGAAAGCUAGGGGAGCGAAUGGGAUUAGAUACCCCAGUAGUCCUAGCCGUAAACGAUGGAUACUAGGCGUGGCUUGUAUCGACCCGAGCCGUGCCGUAGCUAACGCGUUAAGUAUCCCGCCUGGGGAAGUUACGCACGCAAGUGUGAAACUCAAAGGAAUUUGACGGGGGGCCCGCACAAGCGGGUGGAGUAUGUGGUUUAAUUCGAUGCAACGCGAAGAAACCUUACCAAGACUUUGACAUGUUCGCGAAUCCUGCUGAAAAGGCGGGCAGUGCCCUUUCGGGGAGCGCGAACACCAGGUGGUGCAUGGCUGUCGUCAGCUCGUGUCGUGAGAUGUUGGGUUAAGUCCCGCAACGAGCGCAACCCUCGUUUUUAGUUGCCAGCAUUAAGUUGGGCACUCUAGAGAGACUGCCGGUGACAAACCGGAGGAAGGUGGGGAUGACGUCAAGUCAGCAUGCCCCUUACGUCUUGGGCUACACACGUACUACAAUGCUACGGACAGAGGGCAGCAAGCCGGCAACGGCAAGCAAAUCCCGUAAACCGUAGCUCAGUUCAGAUCGCAGGCUGCAACUCGCCUGCGUGAAGGAGGAAUCGCUAGUAAUUGCAGGUCAGCAUACUGCAGUGAAUUCGUUCCCGGGCCUUGUACACACCGCCCGUCACACCAUGGAAGCUGGCAACGCCCGAAGUCAUUACUCCAACUUUUAGGAGGGGAGGAUGCCUAAGGCAGUG